rnacentral:rRNA from 1 species
AAACUGAGGCUAAUACUUGAUAGAAGAUUUUGUUGGAACACUUUUUCUUUGAAACUCGUGCCAUAGGAUGAGACUGCGCCUGAUUAGGUUGUUGUUGGGGUAAUGGCCCAACAAGCCGAUGAUCAGUAAGGGCUCUUAGCGGAGUAGCCCUGAGAGGGAAUCUGAGACACUAUUCCCAGCUCUACGGAGUGCAGCAGCUGCGAAUUUUUUACAAUGCACGAAAGUGUGAUAGAGCGAGCCAAAGUGCUUUUCAUACGAAAAGCUUUUCUUCGCUGUAAAAAUGCAGAGGAAUAAGGACUGGGUAAGACUGGUGCCAGCCGCCGCGGUAAUACCAGCAGUUCAAGUGGCAUCCAUUUUUAUUGGGUCUAAAACAUCCGUAGCUUGUUAAAUAAGUCUCUUGUAAAAUCCUAUAUCUCAAGUAUAGGUCUGGCAAGAGAUACUAUUUAAGCUAGAGACCGGUAGAUGUAAGGAGUACGCUCAAGGUAAUGGUCAAAUAUGUCACUCUUGGGUGGACUAAGCAUUGGCGAAGGCACCUUACAAGGACGGAUCUGACAGUGAGGGAUGAAGGCCAGGGGCGCAAAACGGAUUAGAUACCCGUGUAGUCCUGGCAGUAAACACUGCUCACUAAACAUCGGUCUCUCUUCGGGAGAAAUCGGUGCUGAAGCGAAGGCGCAGAGUGAGCUACCUGGGAAGUAUAGUCGCAAGAUCGAAACUUAAAGGAAUUGGCGGGGAGACACACAACGAGUGACGCGUGCGGUUCAAUUAGAUUCUACACCGUGAACCUCACCAGGAGCGACAGCAGAAUGAAGGUCAGUCUAAAGGGCUUACCUGACGCGCUGAGCGGAGAUGCAUGGCCGACAUCAGCCUGUGCUGUGAAGUGACCUGUUAAAUCAGGUAACAGGCGAGACCCGUGUGCAUAAUUAC